rnacentral:misc_RNA from 1 species
GAUGAAGAACGUAGCGAAAUGCGAUAAGUAAUGUGAAUUGCAGAAUUCAGUGAAUCAUCGAAUCUUUGAACGCACAUUGCGCCCGCCAGUAUUCUGGCGGGCAUGCCUGUUCGAGCGUCAUUUCAACCCUCAGGCCCCCAGUGCCUGGCGUUGGGGAUCGGCGCGGCGCCCUCCGGGGCGCUGCCGGCCCCGAAAUUCAGUGGCGGUCUCGCUGUAGCCCUCCUCCGCGUAGUAGCACACCCUCGCGGCCUGGAGCUCGGCGGUGGCCAUGCCGUAAAACACCCCACUUCUGAAAGUUGACCUCGGAUCAGGUAGGAAUACCCGCUGAACUUAAGCAUAUCAAUAAGCGGAGGA